CAGUUGGCAAACACUCAUUUUAAAAGCUUAUUUGGGCUAGGCACAGUGGCUAACGCCUGCAAUCUCAUCACUUUGGGAGACUGAGGCAGGAGGAUCACUUACGCCCAGGAGUUCAGCACUAAACCUGGAUAACAUAGCAAGACCCUGUCUCUUGGGUUGGUUUGCUGAACCCGUUAGUACGCCUGGCCAAGACACGCCGCCGCCAUGUCUCGCUACCUGCGUCCCCCAAACACAUCUCUGUUUGUCAGGAACGUGGCCGACGACACCAGGUCUGAAGAUUUACGGCGUGAAUUUGGUCGUUAUGGUCCUAUAGUUGAUGUGUAUGUUCCACUUGAUUUCUAUUCUACACUGGCCGUCCAAGAGGAUUUGCUUAUGUUCAAUUUGAGGAUGUUCGUGAUGCUGAAGAUGCUUUACAUAACUCGGACAGAAAGUGGAUUUGUGGACGGCAGAUUGAAUACAGUUUGCCCAGGGGGAUCAGAAGACACCAAAUCAGAUAAAAGCCAAGGAAGGGAGGAAUGUGUACAGUUCUUCACACUAUGAUGAUUAUGACAGAUACAGACGUUCAAGAAGCCGAAGUUACGAAAGAAGGAGAUCAAGAAGCCGGUCUUUUGAUUACAACUAUAGAAGAUUGUAUAGUCCCAGAAAUAGACCGACUGGAAGACCACGGCGUAGCAGAAGCCAUUCCGACAAUGAUAGACCAAACUGCAGCUGGAAUACCCAGUACAGUUCUGCUUACUACACAUCAAGAAAGAUCUGAAAGUGGAAAAAGAACCAAAGAAGGGCAGUUCAAGCGACCAAAGGGUGGGUGGAAGGUGCUGCAGUAUGAAUACUGUACGAAUAUUUUGACUCUGGUCUGAAAAGAUAAAAGAAUGUUAUCGAAAACUACAUGGAAUAAUUGAAGUCCCUUCAAGUUUGAAAGUAAGCAUUUUAGGACAAAUAAAAGGAAAUUCAACUUUGUACUUGUGGAAACUAAUCCCUAAAUAUGAAUAGGUUUAUAUUGAUUCGUGGGUACCAGAUCCAUAACAAAUUAUUGGAAAAUAGGAUGUCUGAAUAUCAAGGAAGACAGCCAUAGUCUCUUACGGUGCCUCUGUUGGUCUGUCUCAAACUGAAUUGGGUGGGAAAAGGUAUGGUCCAAUAUAAAAGUUCCAUUUUCGCCAUUAUUGGCAAAUCUUGCCUUUGUUUAUUUUGGUGCCAGUGUUUUCUGCUUAAUCAUUUGCUUUGUUGGCAUCUGCAUUUAAUUACUUGUACACCACAUGGCAGUUUACAUCUUCCUUAACUACUCUCCUUCCCAGGUAAAUUCGAAUUACAUUUGACAUCCAGCUAAGAGGGCCCAUCUCUUCUCACCUCUUUACUAGUCAAUAUGUUCAGCAAAUAUUUAUUGAGCCCUUACUAUGGGCAAAUCAUUGUACUGGAUAAUUGAGGAGAAAAAUAGAUAAUUCCCUUAUUUGGUAAAUGUCUACUGAGCACAAUCUAGUGAAUCAUUACAGUAUCACCUCGUUGUUUUGUUUGAGGUAUAUUAUUCGUAACAAUAUUUUACACCAUUCAUAUCAGUGUAAUUAUAGAACCCGAUAUGCUAUCAAGAAUAAGUAAUUAUGUGGUUAUUCUGGCAUUUAAAAGUAUCCAGUAUUUGUUUGAUCCCAAUAUUACAAAUAACGAAAAAAUGAUUUGUUUUAAUCUGUAAUAAACUGGUUUAUUGUGCAGUGACUGUAAUAUACUAGAGUUAUAUUAAAGUGCUCACUCUGCCUCACCAAACACAUACUAGGAAAUAACCCCCAAAAUAAGUAUUUAACUUUGCAUUAGAUAUAAAGGAUACUGGGUGCUAUAAUUAGAUUAUUUUGAGGCAGACAGCUGUUAUCCCAACUGAUUUAGUGUGUUCUGUAAUUGAAACAAUGUUCACCAAAUUAUACUUUUUAGUGAUUUACAUGUACAUUUUAUAGGGGACGUGUUCUGUGUAUAGUGAAUAAAUAACUUUUAUAGUAUCA